AAUUCCAUUUAAUACAGAGAAAAAGAAGGUGGCCCAAUAUUUUAAAAAAAUAUACUCCCAUCCGUCGACUGCUUCUCCCUCUCCUCUUCCCCACAAUCCAAUUUCUCCCCCAAAUUGAAAAGGAAGAACCCUAGACUCCAACUCCACCGCCAUUUCCCGUCACCAUCGCCGACCCCCCGGCAGCCACCUUCAUCGCGCCUCACGGAGGUGUUCCGCCGACUCCGACGCUACCUCUCUCCCUCUCUUUCCAUCUCACACUCAAAUUCCCAGUUUAGAACUUGAGGUCAAACCCUAGUUUCCCUUCUCCCUCUUUCUUCUCGGCGAACUUCGCCGCUGCACCGGCCGCCACGCACUCCGUCGCCGGCACCAUCUUCUUCACCCUCAAUUUCACGCCGCAAAUCCCCAAAUGGGGAAACCCUAAUCGAAGAGGGCUCGAAGGCGCCUCGCCCGCCGGCCACCCCGAUCGGUACACCUUCGCACUACCGCCGUCGUCGCUUUCUUCCUCGGCGUCUCGCGUUGGGCGCCUCCCCUGCCUUCGCGGCGUUUUCGACGCGGAACAAGAAUGGUCGUCGCCUCCUUGGUGGAACCGCCGCCGAUGUCGCCCGCCGAGGCUCACGCUGCCGCCGCUGUCUCUCGGCCUAGAAACAGUGACGCUGCUGUCUCGGUGCAGUCGGUGUAAUCGACGCCGGGUCAGCCUCCUCGCUCCAUACACCUACGCCUGCCGUCCCUUCGCCGUCGACACAGCAGCUGUCUCGUGGCAGCUUCCGGGGCUUCGUCGUCCAUCGAUCUCGCUCAAGCUAAGUCCCCUACUCCUUCAUUGUUUGGUGUAGUACAUCCUUAUCCUUGAGUUAUGCUAUUUUUAGGAAUUUGGGGUGUGGAUUCGGUAGAAAAUAGUUCGACAAUUUGAGCUUGAUUGGAGUGAUUCUCCUAUACGCCUAAAUUCCAGUUAUGAUUUAACAUGCUAUCCUUAAGCUUUAGGCAGUGGCUUGUGAGGAUAGUGUCAUAUGGGGUUACUACUGUCAUUGUUGAGAUUCUACCUAUGUGAUGGUUGUUUCUUGCUAUUGAUGUGAGGAGUCUAUUGAAAUCCUAAGUUCUCAGCUUUCUAUUGGGUUGUUCUACAUGAUGCAGGUGUGGUGUUAUGGGGAUUACCUCUUGUGACUGUGAUGGAAUUUGGCUGCCUAGUUGUUGCUCACAACUGCUCCACUUUCUUCUCUAUGCGGCUGGUAUUUGCAGUGUGUGUGGUAAAGGGGACUUGAUGCAUGUGGAGGGGUUUUCUUAUAGGCCAAGUGUGUGCCUAUGAGGGAAUUAUAUGGGCUGAUUCCUUUGUUUCUUAUGCACAGUGCACAAUGAGAGUGUAAGGCGGUUAACUGCAGCUUUGCAGGGUUGCUGCAGCUGCUGGGACAGAUGUUGCAGGAUGACCUUGCCAUUUUGGGCAAGGCUCAUUUUCUUUAUCGAAAUGUAGUGUUUGCUCUUCCCUUUAAGUGUAGGCUGUUAAGUGCUUUAGUAUCUCAUGUGUUUUUAGUUUGAUUUGUUUGUAUUCUGCAUGAACUAUGAACUGAUCACACCCAGCUCCCAACUUGCUGAUCUUGGCCCAACGGGCCGUCGUAAAUCGGGCCGAAAACUGGGCCUAAGGAAGGGGCCGAAGCUUAGCAUUUCUAAAUUGUAAUAGGGUAGUGCUUUUCCAAGCUUUCUUUCUUUCAAACAUGUAUGAAACAUAUAUAAAAGUUAGAAUGUAUGGCUUUCGAGCACCAUUAGUUCGAAAUAAAACAAAUAUCGUCGUUCCCCUUUUUUUCUGUA